GACGUAGGGCGCGAGCGUUGUCCGGAUUUAUUGGGCGUAAAGAGCUCGUAGGCGGCUUGUCGCGUCGAAUGUGAAAACCCACGGCUCAACUGUGGGCUUGCAUUCGAUACGGGCAGGCUAGAGUUCGGUAGGGGAGACUGGAAUUCCUGGUGUAGCGGUGAAAUGCGCAGAUAUCAGGAAGAACACCGAUGGCGAAGGCAGAUCUCUGGGCCGUAACUGACGCUGAGGAGCGAAAGCAUGGGGAGCGAACAGG
rnacentral:rRNA from 1 species